rnacentral:rRNA from 1 species
CGGACGGGUGAGUAACGCGUAAAGAACUUGCCCUUUAGACUGGGAUAACAGAGGGAAACUUCUGAUAAUACUGGAUAAGUUAGUAUAUCGCAUGAUAUGCAAAUGAAAGCUACGGCACUAAAGGAGAGCUUUGCGUCCUAUUAGCUAGUUGGUAAGGUAAGAGCUUACCAAGGCGAUGAUAGGUAGCCGGCCUGAGAGGGUGGACGGCCACAAGGGGACUGAGAUACGGCCCUUACUCCUACGGGAGGCAGCAGGA